CGAGAUCCAGGUCAGAAACUUGUUUCUCCCAGCCUCCAGAUUAGGAUCACAGAUGCGGCAGCUGAGCCUGAGAGGUUACAUUACCUUGUCCAAAGUGACCUGGUGUAUAAGAGAGGGAAUGAAGGACGCGUCAUCCGGGGGAAAGCCUUGACCUUCCCACUCCUCACCUUGGACAAUUUACUUCUAAAUCCUGGCACAACUGGCUCCUUGUCAUGCAGAUGUUCACCCUGUCAGUCUGUCACAUGAAUGAUUCUUCUUCAUACCAGU